CAAGUAUGUUUUCAUCUCAAUGUUGGACAAAAAGAAACCUCUACAAGACCAGAGAAGAUGUGCUAUCACGUGACAAGAGAAGAAGUUAGAGAAGCUAGAGAAGAGAGCAAGUAUGAAAAAGCCUCGACUCUGGACAACAGAACGCUGCUGUAAACUGUGACAAGGUGUGCAUCCACCUGCGUCACCACAAACCUCACUAUCACAGGGACUUCAAUGCCACAAUAGGAGCAACAACAGUUUGAGGUUCUCAGAUUUUUUUAGAGCCGCAAUCGAAUCCACCAUUAGUUAAACGAGGAACACCCCCUAAUCUUUAGUGAUGAGUGGGUCAGACUUCAAGCAGCCGGGGUAGUUGUAGGAACAUGUGACGAAUGGAGAAGUACCACAUCGUCCCAGAGCAGACUUAUGAAGAAGUAAACAUGGAGUUGUCCUGCGUUCAGUGGAAAAGGAAAUGUGCUGGUUCGAGGCUCGGGGGCCAUGUUUUGAAACAGUGACCUCAUCCUCACCGCCCACCACCCUUUUCCUGAGAAAAGUCAAUCUGACAGACGAUGAAGGAGUGAAAGCCGACAUCCUCUCUCACUGACAGCAACUUUUACUAUCCGACUGUUUUACAUGAGAAAAAACCCAUUCAGAACCACACACACACACACACACACACACACACACACAC